UACGAGGGGUGCAAGCGUUGCUCGGAAUUAUUGGGCGUAAAGGGUAGGUAGGUGGUCUCAUUUGUCUGGGGUGAAAGCCUUGAGCUUAACUCAAGAAGUGCCCCGGAAACGGUGAGACUGGAGUCUUGGAGAGGGUCGUGGAAUUCCCGGCGUAGCGGUGAAAUGCGUAGAGAUCGGGAGGAACACCAGCGGCGAAGGCGGCGACCUGGACAGGUACUGACACUCAACUACGAAAGCGUGGGGAGCAAAUAGG
rnacentral:rRNA from 1 species